AUGAACGCUGGGUUGAAGAACUGCACCAGCCUUCAAAGCAUCAAUCUUGGGUCAAACUUGCUCACUGGAGAAAUCCCUUCAUGGCUCGGAGGCUUGUCAAGUCUCCGGACCAUAAUCUUGCAGAAGAGUAACUUCACAGGGAUUAUACCACCAUCACUUGCCAACCUCUCAGCACUAGAAAAAAUACAUUUAAGAUCAAACCAACUUGAGAGCUCCAUCCCCGAGGGCCUUGGCAGGCUCGGUAAACUCUUUUACAUUGACCUAGGAGAAAACCACCUGUCCGGCACUAUUCCUACAACUUUCUACAAUCUUUCUUCUCUGACCCGCUUCAGGGUGACAAAAUAA
rnacentral:rRNA from 1 species